AGCGAACGCUGGCGGCAGGCUUAACACAUGCAAGUCGAGCGCCCCGCAAGGGGAGCGGCAGACGGGUGAGUAACGCGUGGGAACGUACCUUUUGGUUCGGAACAACACAGGGAAACUUGUGCUAAUACCGGAUAAGCCCUUACGGGGAAAGAUUUAUCGCCGAAAGAUCGGCCCGCGUCUGAUUAGCUUGUUGGUGAGGUAACGGCUCACCAAGGCGACGAUCAGUAGCUGGUCUGAGAGGAUGAUCAGCCACAUUGGGACUGAGACACGGCCCAAACUCCUACGGGAGGCAGCAGUGGGGAAUAUUGGACAAUGGGCGCAAGCCUGAUCCAGCCAUGCCGCGUGAGUGAUGAAGGCCCUAGGGUUGUAAAGCUCUUUUAACGGGGAAGAUAAUGACGGUACCCGUAGAAUAAGCCCCGGCUAACUUCGUGCCAGCAGCCGCGGUAAUACGAAGGGGGCUAGCGUUGCUCGGAAUCACUGGGCGUAAAGGGUGCGUAGGUGGAUCUUUAAGUCAGGGGUGAAAUCCUGGAGCUCAACUCCAGAACUGCCUUUGAUACUGAGGAUCUUGAGUUCGGGAGAGGUAAGUGGAACUGCGAGUGUAGAGGUGAAAUUCGUAGAUAUUCGCAAGAACACCAGUGGCGAAGGCGGCUUACUGGCCCGAUACUGACACUGAGGCACGAAAGCGUGGGGAGCAAACAGG
rnacentral:rRNA from 1 species